CGAGGAACAAUUGGAGGGCAAGUCUGGUGCCAGCAGCCGCGGUAAUUCCAGCUCCAAUAGCGUAUAUUAAAGUUGUUGCAGUUAAAAAGCUCGUAGUUGAACCUUGGGCCUGGCUGGCAGGUCCGCCUCACCGCGUGUACUUGUCCGGCCGGGCCUUCCUUCUGGAGAACCUCAUGCCCUUCACUGGGCGUGUUGGGGACCAGGACUUUUACUUUGAAAAAAUUAGAGUGUUCAAAGCAGGCCUUUGCUCGAAUACGUUAGCAUGGAAUAAUAGAAUAGGACGUGCGGUCCUAUUUUGUUGGUUUCUAGGACCGCCGUAAUGAUUAAUAGGGACAGUCGGGGGCAUCAGUAUUCAAUUGUCAGAGGUGAAAUUCUUGGAUUUAUUGAAGACUAACUACUGCGAAAGCAUUUGCCAAGGAUGUUUUCAUUAAUCAGUGAACGAAAGUUAGGGGAUCGAAGACGAUCAGAUACCGUCGUAGUCUUAACCGUAAACUAUGCCGACUAGGGAUCGGGCGAUGUUCUUUUUCUGACUCGCUCGGCACCUUACGAGAAAUCAAAGUUU
rnacentral:rRNA from 1 species